GUUAUAGGGUCAAGCGAACAAGUGCAUGUGGUGGAUGCCUUGGCGAUCACAGGCGAUGAAGGACGCGGUAGCCUGCGAAAAGCCCCGGGGAGCUGGCAAACAAGCUUUGAUCCGGGGAUGUCCGAAUGGGGAAACCCACUCCGUAUGGAGUAUCCAUAGCUGA
rnacentral:rRNA from 1 species